rnacentral:rRNA from 1 species
AGAGUUUGAUCCUGGCUCAGGAUGAACGCUGGCGGCGUGCCUAACACAUGCAAGUCGAGCGAAGCGAUUUUGAGGAAGUUUUCGGAUGGAAUCGAAAUUGACUUAGCGGCGGACGGGUGAGUAACACGUGGGUAAUCUGCCUUAUACAGGGGGAUAACAGUUAGAAAUGACUGCUAAUACCGCAUAAGCGCACGGGGACGCAUGUUUCUGUGUGAAAAACUCCGGUAGUAUAAGAUGAGCCCGCGUCUGAUUAGCUGGUUGGUGGGGUAACGGCCUACCAAGGCGACGAUCAGUAGCCGGCCUGAGAGGGUGAACGGCCACAUUGGGACUGAGACACGGCCCAAACUCCUACGGGAGGCAGCAGUGGGGAAUAUUGCACAAUGGGGGAAACCCUGAUGCAGCGACGCCGCGUGAGUGAAGAAGUAUUUCGGUAUGUAAAGCUAUAUCAGCAGGGAAGAAAAAAGACGGUACCUGACUAAGAAGCCCCGGCUAACUACGUG